GGAGAGGUCGCAUAGUGGUCUAGUGCGGAAGUCUUGAAAACUUCUGUGGGCGCAAGUUCACCGCGAGUUCGAAUCUCGCCCUCUCCG
rnacentral:tRNA from 1 species